UACGUAGGGGCUAGCGUUAUCCGGAAUUACUGGGCGUAAAGAGCUCGUAGGCGGCCUGUUGCGUCAUCCGUGAAAUCCUGCGGCUUAACUGUGGGUUUGCGGUUGAUACGGGCAGGCUGGAGUUCGGUAGGGGAGACUGGAAUUCCUGGUGUAGCGGUGGAAUGCGCAGAUAUCUGGAGGAACACCAGUGGCGAAGGCGGCCUCCUGGACCAUUCCUGACACUCAGACGCGAAAGCUAGGGUAGCAAACGGGAUUAGAUACCCCCGUAGUCCCU
rnacentral:rRNA from 1 species